rnacentral:rRNA from 1 species
UACGUAGGGUGCAAGCGUUGUCCGGAAUUAUUGGGCGUAAAGAGCUCGUAGGCGGUCUGUUGCGUCGGCUGUGAAAACCCGGGGCUCAACCCCGGGCCUGCAGCCGAUACGAGCAGACUAGAGUUCGGCAGGGGAGACUGGAAUUCCUGGUGUAGCGGUGAAAUGCGCAGAUAUCAGGAGGAACACCUAUUGCGAAGGCAGCUCGCUGGGACGUAACUGACGCUGAGACGCGAAAGCGUGGGGAGCAAACAGG